GCCAGUGUGGUAUAGUCGUUUGAGUGUUGGACUAUGACUCUAGAGACCAGGGUUCAAUUCCCAACUUGGUU